AGAAGACACCCUCACUGCUGCCGUGUGGCAUGAGCUCAGCUCGCAGGUGCCCUGGCCAGUGUGGCCACUCAUCUGACCAACUGCCAUUCCAGGAGAAACGGCCCCAUGGGUUCCGGAGUCGCAGGAGCCUGUGGAUCACAGGACUGAGAACCAAAGCUGUGUGCCUUGUGCCAACACACUUAUCCACCCUCAGCCAAUUGGGCCCCUACCUGGAGCCCUGAACAUCACGAACAUCCAAGACAGAGACGCACCCAUGAGGAACCUGUGUGGGCAGAGUAACCCCUGGCUGAUGAAAUGGAUGGACAGCAGGGGAGACCGCCCUCCUUGAAUAUGCGGUGUGCUGUGACCCACAUGACACAUGCUUUCAGGAAGUACUGGCCCACUCUGGAUGAGAGCAAAAACCCAGCCUCAUCACAGGGCAGCAUGUCAUCCACCAGCACUGUUGUCCACGUGCCAUCUUUGCACAGCCGCACCUGGUAGGCACCCUCUGCACAUAGGCUACGUGUGACCAUCACCCUCUCCACGAGGUCGGGACGUUCAGCCAGUACUGCCAACGCACUCAGGAACCUGGAGGGAGCCAGGCAACUUCACAACAUGCCCACAACUGGACCAGCAGCCUCCAUCCUCCCCUGAGCCUGUCUGGCCCUGACGGGAACCUGGAGCCUCACCAGCAGUUCCCCAGCAGCCCCUGUAGGAUGUCAGAGGGCCUCAGGGUGUGGAAGACUGACCACGGAGUGCCGUGGUCCCUGAAGACAGAGCAGUUGAUUUCGUGGGGCCUCAGCCACUGUUUCACUCGCUGCUGGACGCUGUCGCCCACUGGGAAGCCGACAGAUGCAGGCCCGGGGGGGAAGCUGUCAUCCACAAAGUUCACACUAUUCUGCAGGGACCAUGGCCAGACACUCAGGCUGGGCAGGACAGCCUCAGGCCCAGAAUAAUCCCACUCUACCUUUUGGGGGAAGACCCACCCUCCCAAGGGAGCGGCAGAAGGUUGGGGUGGGGCCCUUGCACAUUAAACCAACCUUGGGGCUAGGCAA
rnacentral:lncRNA from 1 species